rnacentral:rRNA from 1 species
GAUGAACGCUGGCGGCGUGCCUAAUACAUGCAAGUCGAGCGAACAGACGAGGAGCUUGCUCCUCUGACGUUAGCGGCGGACGGGUGAGUAACACGUGGAUAACCUACCUAUAAGACUGGGAUAACUUCGGGAAACCGGAGCUAAUACCGGAUAAUAUAUUGAACCGCAUGGUUCAAUAGUGAAAGACGGUUUUGCUGUCACUUAUAGAUGGAUCCGCGCCGCAUUAGCUAGUUGGUAAGGUAACGGCUUACCAAGGCAACGAUGCGUAGCCGACCUGAGAGGGUGCGCGCCCACAGUGGACCGGACCCCGGUCCCAGACCCCGGCGGGGGGAACCGGGGGGAAUUCUCCCGCAAGGGGCGAAGGCCGGCGGGCACACCGCGGGGGGAGUGAUAAGGGUCUGCGUUUCUAAAACUUUUGUUAUGGGGAAAAAAAAAAUGUGAAAGUCCCUAUGCGCUUCUGGAGGCCCCCUAAUAGAAAACCCAGGCCACACCACGCC